CUCCUGUCUCAUCCAUCACCUCAUUGAAGCUGGUUGGUCAGCCAGAGAGAGAGAGAGAGAUAGAGAGAGGGAGACCUGGAGCCUUCAGUCAAUCCUGCAGCCGGUCCUCAGGAAAGUGCUGACUCCAUAGACUUCCCAAUUGCUGGGUGUCUCGUCCAACACCUCAUUGAAGUUGAUUGGUCAGCCAGAGAGACAAAGGGCAGAGAGAUCUGGAGCCUUCAAUAAAUCCUGCAGUGAGGUACUCAGGAAAGUCCUGACUCAAUAGCCUUCCCAGCUGCGGGGUGGAUUGUCCAUCACCACAUUGAACGCAGUUGGUCUGCCAGAGGGAGACAAAGGGCAGGGAGAUCUGGAGCCUUCAAUAAAUCCUGUAGUGAGGUAUUCCUGAUGUCCCUGACUCAGCACAAUUCCCAAUUCCUGUCUCGUCCAUCACCACAUUGAAGACGGUUGGUCAGCCAGAGAGAGAUGGAGAGUGAGAUCUGGAGCCUUCAGUAAAUCCUGCAGCCAGUACUCGGGAAGUUCCUGACUCAAUAGACUUCCCAACUGCUGUGCGUCUCAUCCAUCACCUCAUUGAAGAUGGUUGGUCACCAGGGAGACAAAGGGCAGGGAGAUCUGGAGCCUUUAAUAAAUCCUGCAGUGAGGUACUCAGGAAGGUUCAGACUCGAUUAACUUCCCAGCUGCUGGGUGUCUCGUCCAUCAUCACAUUGAAGAUAGUUGGUCAGCCAGAGAGACAAAAGAGAGGGAGAUCUGCAGCCUUCAAUAAAUCCUGCAGUGAGGUAUGGACUACCAAUAGAGAUCCAGACAGAUCAAACCUCACAUCCGGACUAUUCAAGGAGAUGAUGGAUAACUUGGGAAUAAAGCAAUUCAAAUUUACUGCGUACUAUUUGGAAUCACAGGGAGCAUGAGAGAGAUGUCAUCAAACACUGAAGACCAUGUUGAGGUGUUAUGGUCAGGAUUAUCCAGAUGAUUGCGAUAAGGAAAUUGCUUUUGAACUUUUUGUGAUCACAGAUGCACAGAAUGAAUUGACCAAAUUCAGUCUAUUCAAAUUAAUUUGUGGGCAUAAAGUAAAAGGACCAUUAACAUUGUUUAAGGAGAAAUUAAUAAGUCAGAAUUCAGAGACCAUCCAUUUGGAUGAUUUGUCAAAUUUUAGGGAACGAUUAAAUAGAGCUGGAGAGUUGGGUAGACAGCAUUUAAAAGUAUUGCAGCAUACAAUGAAACAGGAAGUGGAUGCGAAAUAAUAAAUUGGCAAUUUUGCAAUUGGGAGUAAAGUAUUGGUGUUACUUCCAGUAACAGUUGAACCUUGAAAAGCAAGUGUUGGCGUAUCUCAUCAAGUUGGGAAGAAAUUGAAUGAGGUGAACUAUUUGAUACGGACUCCAGACAAGAUGAGAUCUCACGGAGUCUGUCAUGUGAAUACACUCAAAAGGUAUUUUGACAGGGAAGGAAAGCAAGAGGAGAAGGUGUUAAUGAUUACAGCACAGAAGGAAGAACCAAGUUCAGAGGAUUCUGAAUUGGACAUUCUUCAAAUCAAAUUGGAGAAUGAGGAAGUUGUCAAAAAUUGGGAUGAAUUGUUGAGUUACUUUACACAAGAAAAGAAAAGUGACCUGAAAGAGUUUUUACUAUCUUGUGGAGAGAUAUGCUGCAAAAACUGGGAAGUACGAACAUAAUUGUGCAUGAUGUAGACACAGGAGAUGCUGUUCUGAUUAAGCAACAUCGUUAUGGCCAUGACUGUCCAAAAUUGGCACAGGUUCAGAAGGAGAUAGAGCGCACACUCCAAUAUGUCAUAAUCGAAAUGAGUUACAGUGACUGGAGUUCACAUAUAGUCAUGGUACCAAAGCCAGAUGGUACCCAACGGUCAUGUGUGGACUAUCACAAAGUCAGUGCCGUUACAAAGACUGAUGCGGAUCCAAUUCCAUGUUUGGAGACCUGUGUCGAAAAAGUGGGAGAAGAUACUUACAUUUCUAAGUUGGAUUUGCUCAGAGGCUACUGGCACGGACCUCUGUCAGAGAGAGCAAAGGCAAUUUCGGCUUUCAUAAUGCCAAAUGGACAGUUCAAAUUGUGGCAUUUUGUAUGAAAAGCGAUCCAGCCACAUUUCAGAGACUGAUAAUAAGGUCAUUGCCUGAUUACCCAACUGUGUGGUCUACGCUGAUGACCUGAUGAUUUUUAGUCACUCAUGGAAGGAACAUUUAGAGCAUUUAUCAGACUUGUGCGAUCAACCUCAGAAGGCAGGCUUGGUGGUAAACUUAGCUAAAGGAGACUCUAUCCUUGUUUUUUUUCGCAGGGACAUUAAAACGGGGCCAAGCUCAUAUCAGUCUGGUUUGGUACAGAGAUGAAAAGGAUUUUUAGAGGCCUUUUGUUUAUAUGGAAACAGGUGGGACUUCAGGCCAAAGUGGUCAUGCUUUAUAAGUGACCAGUAUAAUGAACGGAGAGUGGUGAGCUAUUUUAGCUGAACUUGCUGAGCUGAUUUGAGCUGAGCAGUUUUCAGUUGAGUUUUGAACUAGGAAGUUCAUCUGGGAGCUGUGUGGAAACUCUCUCUCGUUUCUGACCUUCAAUUUCAACCUGGAAGUAUUUGUUCCAUUUGUACUGGUUUUUAUUGGGAGUUUGAUGAUUGGGACAGUUGCGUAUGCUCGGAGCAGCAUAAUUAAGUUUACUUGAAUUGGUUGAAUUCUGUCGUGAUUCUUUAUUCUGUUCUUUGU